UACGAAGGGUGCAAGCGUUACUCGGAAUCACUGGGCGUAAAGGGCGCGUAGGUGGUGGCUUAAGCGUGCGGUGAAAGCUCGGGGCUCAACUCCGAGUCGGCCGUGCGAACUGGGCUCACUGGAGCAUAGUAGAGGCAGGUGGAAUUCCGGGUGUAGCGGUGGAAUGCGUAGAGAUCCGGAAGAACACCGGUGGCGAAGGCGGCCUGCUGGGCUAUGGCUGACACUGAGGCGCGACAGCGUGGGGGAGCAAACAGG
rnacentral:rRNA from 1 species